AGAGUUUGAUCCUGGCUCAGGAUGAACGCUGGCGGCGUGCCUAACACAUGCAAGUCGAACGAAGACUGUGCGGCGGAACUCUCCGGAGGGAAGACGCGCAGGACUGAGUGGCGGACGGGUGAGUAACGCGUGGGUAACCUGCCCUGUACAGGGGGACAACAGCUGGAAACGGCUGCUAAUACCGCAUAAGCCUACAGUACCGCAUGGUACAGCAGGAAAAACUCCGGUGGUACAGGAUGGGCCCGCGUCUGAUUAGUUAGUUGGCAGGGUAACGGCCUACCAAGACAACGAUCAGUAGCCGGCUUGAGAGAGUGGACGGCCACAUUGGGACUGAGACACGGCCCAAACUCCUACGGGAGGCAGCAGUGGGGAAUAUUGCACAAUGGGGGGAACCCUGAUGCAGCAACGCCGCGUGAGUGAAGAAGUAUUUCGGUAUGUAAAGCUCUAUCAGCAGGGAAGAAAAUGACGGUACCUGACUAAGAAGCUCCGGCUAAAUACGUGCCAGCAGCCGCGGUAAUACGUAUGGAGCAAGCGUUAUCCGGAUUUACUGGGUGUAAAGGGAGCGCAGGCGGUACGGCAAGUCCGAUGUGAAAGCCCGGGGCUCAACCCCGGGACUGCAUUGGAAACUGCCGCACUAGAGUGCCGGAGAGGUAAGUGGAAUUCCUAGUGUAGCGGUGAAAUGCGUAGAUAUUAGGAGGAACACCAGUGGCGAAGGCGGCCUACUGGACGGUGACUGACGCUGAGGCUCGAAAGCGUGGGGAGCAAACAGGAUUAGAUACCCUGGUAGUCCACGCCGUAAACGGUGAAUCUAAGUGUCCGGCCCCAUUGGGGGGCCGGUGCCCGCAGCAAACGCAGUAAGUAUUCCACCUGGGGAGUACGUUCGCAAGAAUGAAACUCAAAGGAAUUGACGGGGACCCGCACAAGCGGUGGAGCAUGUGGUUUAAUUCGAGGCAACGCGAAGAACCUUACCCAGCCUUGACAUCCCGGCGAGAACGGGGCAAUGCCCGUUGCCCUUCGGGGCGCCGGAGACAGGUGGUGCAUGGUUGUCGUCAGCUCGUGUCGUGAGAUGUUGGGUUAAGUCCCGCAACGAGCGCAACCCUUAUCUUCAGUAGCCAGCAGGUAAAGCCGGGCACUCUGGAGAGACUGCCGGGGAUAACCCGGAGGAAGGUGGGGAUGACGUCAAAUCAUCAUGCCCCUUAUGAUUUGGGCUACACACGUGCUACAAUGGCGUAAACAGAGGGAAGCGAGCCCGCGAGGGGGAGCAAAUCCCAAAAAUAACGUCCCAGUUCGGAUUGUAGUCUGCAACCCGACUACAUGAAGCUGGAAUCGCUAGUAAUCGCGGAUCAGAAUGCCGCGGUGAAUACGUUCCCGGGUCUUGCACACACCGCC
rnacentral:rRNA from 1 species